UACAGAGGGGGCGAGCGUUGUUCGGAAUUACUGGGCGUAAAGGGCGCGUAGGCGGCCUGCUAAGUCGAACGUGAAAUCCCCGGGCUCAACCCGGGAACUGCGUCCGAUACUGGUGGGCUUGAAUCCGGGAGAGGGAUGUGGAAUUCCAGGUGUAGCGGUGAAAUGCGUAGAUAUCUGGAGGAACACCGGUGGCGAAGGCGGCAUCCUGGACCGGUAUUGACGCUGAGGCGCGAAAGCUAGGGGAGCAAACGGGG
rnacentral:rRNA from 1 species